rnacentral:rRNA from 1 species
UACAGAGGUCUCAAGCGUUGCUCGGAAUCACUGGGCGUAAAGGGUGCGUAGGCGGGUCUUUUAAGUCAGGGGUGAAAUCCUGGAGCUCAACUCCAGAACUGCCUUUGAUACUGAAGAUCUUGAGUUCGGGAGAGGUGAGUGGAACUGCGAGUGUAGAGGUGAAAUUCGUAGAUAUUCGCAAGAACACCAGUGGCGAAGGCGGCUCACUGGCCCGAUACUGACGCUGAGGCACGAAAGCGUGGGGAGCAAACAGG